UAGUUUACCGAGUCGUGCAGGAUGAAGAACCGUAGAGGUUCGAGCAUCGCGUAGCGAUACGACAACGCGCGGCGUUGCCCGCAGGGUGAGGCCACAGGCCGAAUCAAUCCUGCACGACCCACCC
rnacentral:sRNA from 1 species